rnacentral:rRNA from 1 species
GUGGGGAAUUUUGGACAAUGGGCGCAAGCCUGAUCCAGCCAUUCCGCGUGCAGGAUGAAGGCCUUCGGGUUGUAAACUGCUUUUGUACGGAACGAAAAGCCUCUGGUUAAUACCCGGGGGUCAUGACGGUACCGUAAGAAUAAGCACCGGCUAACUACGUGCCAGCAGCCGCGGUAAUACGUAGGGUGCGAGCGUUAAUCGGAAUUACUGGGCGUAAAGCGUGCGCAGGCGGUGAUGUAAGACAGUUGUGAAAUCCCCGGGCUCAACCUGGGAACUGCAUCUGUGACUGCAUUGCUGGAGUGCGGCAGAGGGGGAUGGAAUUCCGCGUGUAGCAGUGAAAUGCGUAGAUAUGCGGAGGAACACCGAUGGCGAAGGCAAUCCCCUGGGCGUGCACUGACGCUCAUGCACGAAAGCGUGGGGAGCAAACAGGAUUAGAAACCCCAGUAGUCC